UAAGGAAUAUUGGACAAUGGUCGCAAGACUGAUCCAGCCAUGCCGCGUGCAGGAUUAAGGCCCUAUGGGUCGUAAACUGCUUUUAUACGGGACAAAACCCCUCUACGUGUAGAGGGCUGAUGGUACUGUAAGAAUAAGGGUCGGCUAACUUCGUGCCAGCAGCCGCGGUAAUACGAAGGACCCGAGCGUUAUCCGGAUUUAUUGGGUUUAAAGGGUGCGUAGGCGGAUUUAUAAGUCAGUGGUGAAAGCCUAUAGCUUAACUAUAGAAUUGCCAUUGAUACUGUAGGUCUUGAGUACAGUUGAGGUGGGCGGAAUGUGCAGUGUAGCGGUGAAAUGCUUAGAUAUUGCACAGAACACCAAUUGCGAAGGCAGCUCGCUAAGCUGUAACUGACGCUGAGGCACGAAAGUGUGGGUAGCAAACAG
rnacentral:rRNA from 1 species